GGAGUUGUAGCUCAGUGGUAAAGCACUUACCUCGCAUGUGUGAGACCCUGGGUUCAGUCCCCAGCACCA
rfam:Ictidomys tridecemlineatus contig118833, whole genome shotgun sequence.